CCUACGGGAGGCAGCAGUGGGGAAUAUUGGGCAAUGGGCGCAAGCCUGACCCAGCAACGCCGCGUGAAGGAUGACGGUUUUCGGAUUGUAAACUUCUGUUGCGCGGGACGCAGAAUGACGCUACCUCGUAAGAACGCCCCGGCUAACUACGUGCCAGCAGCCGCGGUAAUACGGAGGGGGCAAGCGUUGUCCGGAAUGACUGGGCGUAAAGGGAGUGUAGGCGGCCUUGUAAGUUAGUUGUGAAAUCCUACGGCUUAACCGUAGAACUGCAACUAAAACUGUGGGUCUGGAGUGCAGGAGAGGUAAGUGGAAUGCGUGGUGUAGCGGUGGAAUGCAUAGAUAUUAGGAAGAACACCAGAGGCGAAGGCGACUCACUGGACUGUAACUGACGCUGAAGCUCGAAAGCGUGGGGAGCAAACAGGAUUAGAUACCCGAGUAGUC
rnacentral:rRNA from 1 species